rnacentral:rRNA from 1 species
GACGAACGCUGGCGGCGUGCUUAACACAUGCAAGUCGAACGGAAAGGCCUCUUUCGGGUGGUACUCGAGUGGCGAACGGGUGAGUAACACGUGAGUAACCUGCCCUUGACUUUGGGAUAACUUCAGGAAACUGGGGCUAAUACCGGAUAGGAGCUCCUGCUGCAUGGUGGGGGUUGGAAAGUUUCGGCGGUUGGGGAUGGACUCGCGGCUUAUCAGCUUGUUGGUGGGGUAGUGGCUUACCAAGGCUUUGACGGGUAGCCGGCCUGAGAGGGUGACCGGCCACAUUGGGACUGAGAUACGGCCCAGACUCCUACGGGAGGCAGCAGUGGGGAAUAUUGCACAAUGGGUGGAAGCCUGAUGCAGCAACGCCGUGUGCGGGAUGACGGCCUUCGGGUUGUAAACCGCUUUCGCUCAUGACGAAGCUUUGUGUGACGGUAGUGGGUAAAGAAGCACCGGCUAACUACGUG